rnacentral:rRNA from 1 species
UGGGGAAUAUUGCACAAUGGGGGAAACCCUGAUGCAGCGACGCCGCGUGAGCGAAGAAGGUUUUCGAAUCGUAAAGCUCUGUCCUAUGAGAAGAUAAUGACGGUAUCAUAGGAGGAAGCCCCGGCUAAAUACGUGCCAGCAGCCGCGGUAAUACGUAGGUGGCAAGCGUUGUCCGGAAUUAUUGGGCGUAAAGCGCGCGCAGGUGGUUUAGAAAGUCUGAUGUGAAAGCCCACGGCUCAACCGUGGAGGGUCAUUGGAAACUAAUAAACGUGAGUGCAGGAGAGAAAAGUGGAAUUCCUAGUGUAGCGGUGAAAUGCGUAGAGAUUAGGAGGAACACCGGUGGCGAAAGCGGCUUUUUGGCCUGCAACUGACACUGAGGCGCGAAAGCGUGGGGAGCAAACAGG